AGCAUCGACACCAUGUCCCAACGGUGAGGUUUUGGUAGACUGCCCGGUUAACCCGUGUGCAAGAUAUAUCUGCCUUAGCCCAGCUGACUUAAAAUGCGAACCUAACUACUGUGGAGAAUGCACCAGGGUGUGGUACUCUGGCACUGAGCCAGCCACCUGCUGGAUAGAAGACGUAACUUCCUUCGAUGGUUAAACGGAGAUUUUACAUGUUAAGUUACUUCCGUGUUAUAUAUUGUGAACUCGUUAAAAGCUUGUCGUGAUAAAGACGAGCAAUGUAUUUUCAAACAAACAUCUGUGUAAUAUGGCAUUAAGAAUGUUAAUGGCCAUGAUCACACCAAAACUUUGUUUUUUUCCGUAUGUAUAAGCCAAUUUUGAAUUACAUUUUUCCAUUAUGAUUGCAGUAAUCGAUUUUAACAUGCAGAUAUCCACGCCUUGUGCGCAUAAAUAUCCUCAAUUACCAUUAACAUACUCGUAUGUCGUGUUUUAUUAGUUGGCCCAAAUGUGCAGCACAUAUGCAAAUACACACUGCUUGCUAUGGAUACGUGAUUUAAUCAAGUAUUUGCACAACUAAUUAAUAAAAUGUAAGAAGA